rnacentral:lncRNA from 1 species
CACUUUCAGCUUUGAUUUUCUAAAAGUCAAAUAUUAAUGCCUGACAGAAGAAUCAAGAGUAACAAAAUUGCAAUUUUUUUAUUUUAUUUUACUUUUAUUAUUAUUAUUAUUAUUAUUUUGAGUGGGGGACAGGGUCUUGUGCUCUGUUACCCAGGCUGGAGUGCAGUGACACAAUGAUAGCUCACUGUAACCUGGAACUCCUGGGCUCAAGGGAUCCUCCUACCUCAGCCUCCCAAGUAGCUAGGACUAUAGGCGAGUGCCACCACACCUGGCUAAUUAAUAAAAUUGCAAUUUGAGUCUUGCUGUGUCACUCAGCCUGGAGCACAGUGGUGCAAUCUCAUCUCACUGCAGCCUCCGCCCCAUCGGGUUCAAGAAACUCUUGUGCCUCAGCCUCCAGGAUAGAUGGGAUUACAGGUGCCCACCACCAAUCAUAUUAUAAAAACUUUUAAAAAAUAGACAAUUCAGCUAAGCAGUAGUUAUAAUAAUAGAUUACAUUACUCUCUAAAUUAAUAAAAGAUGGCUAAAAUUUAAGAACAUAAACAACACCUUUACCUUUGAGGAAUAUUAAACAGCUGAAAUAAAACAAAUCUAUCGUUAUAAUGCACCAAAUUGUUUUUUAUUUUAGCAGGCCUGCUUAUAUUAAAAUCUGUGUAACACAUAAAAAAAUUAUCAAUUUGGCUAUAGUGACUAUACUACAUUC